UGCGUAGGCGGCCAGUUAAGUAGGGUGUGAAAGCUCUCGGCUCAACCGAGGAAUUGCGCUCUAAACUGAUUGGCUUGAGUGAGAUAGGGGUGUGCGGAACUUCCGGUGGAGCGGUGAAAUGUGUUGAUAUCGGAAGGAACACCAGUAGCGAAGGCGGCACACUGGGUCUUCACUGACGCUGAGGCACGAAAGCUAGGGGAGCGAACAGGAUUAGAUACCCUGGUAGUCC
rnacentral:rRNA from 1 species